CGCACAUUGCGCCCGCCAGUAUUCUGGCGGGCAUGCCUGUUCGAGCGUCAUUUCAACCCUCAAGCCCCAGCGGCUUGGUGUUGGGGACCGGCCCCGCGCCGCCCCCGAAAUGCAGUGGCGACCUCGCCGCAGCCUCCCCUGCGUAGUAGCACAACCUCGCACCGGAGCGCGGAGACGGUCACGCCGUAAAACGCCCAACUUUCUAGAGUUGACCUCGGAUCAGGUAGGAAUACCCGCUGAACUUAA
rnacentral:misc_RNA from 1 species